rnacentral:rRNA from 1 species
AUUGAACGCUGGCGGCAGGCCUAACACAUGCAAGUCGAACGAGAGGGGGGAGGGAGAGAAAUGUCGGGGAAAAGGCCUGGGGGAGGGGGAUAACUACGGGAAACGGGAGCUAAUAACGCAUACCAUCAGAUGUGCCCAGAUGGGAUUAGCUUGUGGGGGGGGUAACGGCUCACCAAGGCGACGAUCCCUAGCUGGUCUGAGAGGAUGACCAGCCACACUGGAACUGAGACACGGCCCAGACUCCUACGGGAGGCAGCAGUGGGGAAUAUUGCACAAUGGGCGCAAGCCUGAUGCAGCCAUCCCGCGUGUAUGAAGAAGGCCUUCGGGUUGUAAAGUACUUUCAGCGGGGAGGCGUUACCCGCAGAAGAAGCACCGGCUAACUCCGUGCCAGCAGCCGCGGUAAUUC